rnacentral:rRNA from 1 species
UACGGAGGGUGCAGGCGUUACUCGGAAUCACUGGGCGUAAAGCGUGCGCAGGCGGUUUGCUAAGUCAGGUGUGAAAUCCCCGGGCUUAACCUGGGAACUGCGCUUGUUACUGGCAGGCUUGAGUGUGGCAGAGGGGGGUGGAAUUCCACGUGUAGCAGUGAAAUGCGUAGAGAUGUGGAGGAACACCGAUGGCGAAGGCAGCCCCCUGGGCUAACACUGACGCUCAUGCACGAAAGCGUGGGGAGCAAACAGG